ACUCAGAGGAGGAGACAGUCCCUCUGUUUAACUGGGGUACACGAAUAGGACAACUCUGAGCAAGGGGGAAGUUGAAGGCAGCUAGGAUACACAACACCAGGAAACAAAACCAAGGAAUAAGGCUGUCCAGAAUGGACAGGCUUCAGACACCAUAUUUGCUUCCAUCUCAGCUGGCUCAUCAUGAUCAUAAGAUCAAUGCUUCUGUUCCAAGAAUCAUAUGAAAAAAUCCAUUGUAAGAAGAGGGACCAUUCUUCUUGUUUUGAUACCAAGGAGACUCCUUAGUAAACAUUCUGCUGGCUCAAUUCCACCUCAGAGUCUACCUCCUAGGAAACCCAACCCAUGACGACUAUUGGAUAACACCUUUAAGUACUAAAAUAAGUACAGCUGUUAACCCAGCUUCUAUAUGCUACAAAAUUAUCUUUCAAAAAUGAAGAAAAACAAGGAUGUUUUCAGAUGGACAAAAGCUAAGAAUCGGUGUGUUGUGCUAUAAGAAAUACUUAAGGUAAUUCUUAAGUGGGAGGUGAAUGACAUCGGAUGAUAACUUGGAUUCAAUGGAAGAAAUUAAGAGCACAGGAAAUGGUAAAUUUAGGGGUAAACAUGAGAAAAUACACACAUUUUCUUUUCUUUUU